rnacentral:rRNA from 1 species
AUUGAACGCUGGCGGCAGGCCUAACACAUGCAAGUCGAGCGAGCGGCGGACGGGUGAGUAAUACAUGGGGACUGCCCGAUAAAGGUGGGUAACUACUGGAAACGGGUGCUAAUACCGCGUAUUAUCGUAUUUCUCAUAUGGUAUUAGCUGGUAGGUGAGGUAAUGGAGGACCAAGGCUACGAUCCCUAGCUGGUCUGAGAGGAUGACCAGCCACACGGGGACUGAGACACGGCCCAGACUCCUACGGAGGCAGCAGUGGGGAAUAUUGCACAAUGGGCGCAAGCCUGAUGCAGCCAUGCCGCGUGUAUGAAGAAGGCCUUAGGGUUGUAAAGUACUUUCAGUCGGGAGGCGUUACCGACAGAAGAAGCACCGGCUAACUCCGUGCCAGCCGCCGCGGUAAUAC